rnacentral:rRNA from 1 species
UUUAACUGAGCGUUCAGUUACUUGACGUAGACCCGAAACCGGGCGACCUACCCAUGAGCAGGAUGAAGCGAAAGUAAAAUUUCGUGGAGGUCCGAACCCACGAGCGUUGAAAAGCUCGGGGAUGACUUGUGGGUAGCGGUGAAAUUCCAAUCGAGCCCGGAGAUAGCUGGUUCUCCCCGAAAUAGCUUUAGGGCUAGCCUCAAGGUGAGAGAUACGGAGGUAGAGCACUGAAUGUCCUAGGGGGUAUUGCACCUACCGAAGACUAUCAAACUCCGAAUGCCGUCAUCUUAUACUUGGGAGUCAGACUGUGGGUGAUAAGAUUCAUAGUCGAAAGGGCAACAGCCCAGAUCGUCAGCUAAGGUCCCUAAAUGUAAGUUAAGUGGUAAAGGAUGUGGGAUUGCACAGACAACCAGGAUGUUGGCUUAGAAGCAGCCACUCAUUCAAAGAGUGCGUAAUAGCUCACUGGUCGAGUGAUCCUGCGCCGAAGAUUUCCGGGGCUAAAACUUACUACCGAAGCUACGGCAUCAGUAAUGAUGGGUAGGGGAGCUUCCCAUACGGGUUGAAGCAUGACCGUAAGGACAUGUGGACAGUAUGGGAGUGAGAAUGUUGGCAUGAGUAGCGAGAUGUGGGUGAGAAUCCCACAGGCCGUAAACCCAAGGUUUCCAGGGGAAGGUUCGUCCGCCCUGGGUUAGUCGGGACCUAAGCUGAGGCCGAAAGGCGUAGGUGAUGGACAACAGGUUGAUAUUCCUGUACUACCGAUAACCGUUUGAGAGAAGGGAUGACACAGUAGGAUAAGCUAAGCACACUGUUGGUUAUGUGUGCCCAAG